rnacentral:lncRNA from 1 species
UCAUAAUAUUGGGUGAUUUCUAAAUGACAAAAAUGCCAUAUUGAAUAUGCUGCUCCAAUAUCACUUCUGCCUGGACAAAAUCACCCCUCUGAUUUAAUGAAAUUACACACCGCGUCACCAAACCACCCUCACAUUCCCCACCUGUUUCAGCCCACUUGUCAACCCUCAUUUUCUUUAUCUUCUUCUCUCUCUUCUCUAUUUCUUUUUCAACUUCUCCUUCCUCCAUUGAAGAACACCCUUCCUCCAUGGAAGAACUCAAAAUAGAUAGACUGUUUCUUUAAUAACCGAUCAUUACUUUUCAAUUCUCCGAAUCUAUGAAAUCAUUAUCGAGUCAAAGCUUCUUCUUCGUAAGAAUCCAAAUCAUUAUAAAGGAGUUAUGCAGAAGUAGAGAGAAAAAGGUGAUUUUGAGAUCGGCGGCGGUAGGUGUCUGGGAAGGCAAUGGGAUUACAACGAUGGCAGAGGAGGAGCUUGGCGAAUUCAAUGGUUGAGUUGAUUCGGCCGUUGCUGGCGAAUUCAACGGUGGAGAAAGAUAAAUUUGUGAAGAGAUGGACUCAAACUAGUCAAAUUGUAACAAGUUAAUUAAUCCAUCUGCUCCGCCCUACAUCACCCCCAUAACCUCAUGAACUGGGCAGGAGUAACUUUCUUGAAGAACGGUAAAGUGAGGGUACUUGUGUAAUUGUAGUUGAAUAUCAAUCAAACAAACAUUUGUACAUUUUCUUUUAUCAAUAUAAAUAAUACCUAAUAUUACAAUAUUUUGAAUAUUAUAAUAUUCGAGAUAUCACAUAUAAAACGACCCCUUAUAAAUGUAAGUUCAGGAAUUUAACCGAGGACAAUAUGUUUUUAUGAAACAUAUUAUCGAUCAAAUUAAUAUAUUUAGAGAAAAG